rnacentral:lncRNA from 1 species
UGAAGGCUUGGUUAAAGCUCCUAACUAAUUUAGUAUGAUUGUUAGGGUGCAUGGAGGCUAGAGAGCACCUUCGCUCGCGGGAUCGACAAGAGUCGACAGCGAUUCGGUGGGUUUGACCUCACCGAAAUAGGUGAAUUCCCUCUAUGUUCUUAUUCUUAACAUAGAGCUUGAAUUAUGCAUCUGUUUUGCUAGCGGCAUCAUAAAUGAGUUGUAAGAUGUACUAAUAGUACUGAUAUCAUGUGGCAAAAUUAUACUCUAUGUAGUAAAGAGCUAAAAGUAUUAAAUUCAUUGCAUGAUAACUAAUAUACUUGUGUAAACACGUCGAGAAUGAGUAUAGUAUGCUUAGACUAGCAUGAAAUUCAUGUUGUUGUUAUAACCUAGUUGAUAACUUGUAGUAUCCUUUAUAUAUACAUAUAUAUAUAUAUAUAUAUAUAUAUAUAUAUAUAUAUGGAUGCCACAUGCCCAUGUCUAUACAUAUAUAUAUGUGUGUGGAUGCCAUGUGCCCCCAUGCAUGGUUAUCCAUUCAAUUAAUUGAGGGAUGCAGCCUACACCUCUCUAAUUAUAUUUUUCUUUCUCUCUUUCGUGUGGAGUGGAGAGCCGAAGCGGAGGAGCUCGGUGGAGGUAGCCGUGAGCACGAGUUCGACGCCGACGACGCGUCGCGAAGCCAUUCGAGGGUACGGUUGGGAUCGUAGCGCUGCGAGGAAGCUAGGCGAGGGUACGUUUUCGCCGUUCUCGACGCCGCGUCGAUGUCCGAUUAGCCUUUGAGGUGAGUGUUCCGUUGCAUUGCUUCAAGUAUUGUCAUUUCGAGCUUGGUGCUGAUUUGCAGAAUUUCCAGCGUCGACCGUCGGUAUUUCAGUUCGUACUCGACGUAGGAGCGUCGGUUUUCGACGGGACUUGGUUCGUUGGAUUCGAGACUUCGAGAGGAAUCCACGAAGCCCUUACUUGCUGGAUUUGGUAAAGGUUUGCUAGGUCAGAAUUUCGCUCCUCUCUGUUGCUGUUUUUGAGGCAGAAUUAAUGCUUAUUGUCGGAUUCUCCGUGUAGAGUUUGGCGGGAGCUUGACUUCGGGCCUUGGGAGGUUUUCGGACGUUUCGGCAGGUUGUUCCGCAGCCGAGGGGAGUUCCGUGCUGCCAGGGAUUAGCGAGCGAGGUGGGUUAAUCAUCGGUUUAUACUCCUAAGUGCUUAGUAGUCAACAUGUAUGAAUUUUGGAUUUUGUGUAGUUUACUUUAGCUCGAAUUCAUGGAUUAUUAUGUGAAUGACUAAUCUGAAUUUGGAGCAUGUGAUAAUAAAUUAAGUAAAUAUACAUGUUGGACUUGGAACUUGACUUAGGAGAAAACAAGCGUUUUGGGACCUGUCACCUGUUUAAACUACCUGAUUUAGCCCUAGGGGCCGUUGUAUUAAUUUAUACUGUUGCAGUAUCCUCAAAGUAAGUAUUCCAGGUAGUUUAGUUUUCAGUUACGCUCGUGCUGGGAUGCCGAGUGUAUUUUUACUGUAGCGUUCAGGCUGUUCCGGAUUGUUGGGUGCCGUCGGGAUUGACGGUGGACCCGUAUCGCCUUUUUGGCGUUGGAUUGUGCCGAGGACACGAUACCUGUUGGUUGUUAGACCAGUUUGAGUCGGUUACUGGACUUUGGCUUUUGAGAGCCUAAUUGAGCUCGACAGAGAUACGCUGCAUACUCGGUUGGGUAGCUCCCACGAGUGCCACUCCGGAGACGGGCGCUGUGCUUUCGCGUUGGUGUCGCUCAUGCCGGUUGGACUUGCUCUCCACGGACUAGUAGUGUGGAGGUAGCUGGAUAGUCACAACUGGGCAGGGACGGGUGUGUUCACAGUCCCAGGGACGGGUAUGCUUACAGUCCCGAUUGGAUUGGGUCAGAUUUGACAUUUUCCUACAGUUGGUUAGUGUAGAGCAUGAUAGUGUAGU